rnacentral:rRNA from 1 species
GACGAACGCUGGCGGCGUGCUUAACACAUGCAAGUCGAACGGAAAGGCCCUGCUUUUGUGGGGUGCUCGAGUGGCGAACGGGUGAGUAACACGUGAGUAACCUGCCCUUGACUUUGGGAUAACUUCAGGAAACUGGGGCUAAUACCGGAUAGGAGCUCCUGCUGCAUGGUGGGGGUUGGAAAGUUUCGGCGGUUGGGGAUGGACUCGCGGCUUAUCAGCUUGUUGGUGGGGUAGUGGCUUACCAAGGCUUUGACGGGUAGCCGGCCUGAGAGGGUGACCGGCCACAUUGGGACUGAGAUACGGCCCAGACUCCUACGGGAGGCAGCAGUGGGGAAUAUUGCACAAUGGGCGGAAGCCUGAUGCAGCAACGCCGCGUGCGGGAUGACGGCCUUCGGGUUGUAAACCGCUUUCGCCUGUGACGAAGCGUGAGUGACGGUAAUGGGUAAAGAAGCACCGGCUAACUACGUGCCAGCAGCCGCGGUGAUACGUAGGGUGCGAGCGUUGUCCGGAUUUAUUGGGCGUAAAGGGCUCGUAGGUGGUUGAUCGCGUCGGAAGUGUAAUCUUGGGGCUUAACCCUGAGCGUGCUUUCGAUACGGGUUGACUUGAGGAAGGUAGGGGAGAAUGGAAUUCCUGGUGGAGCGGUGGAAUGCGCAGAUAUCAGGAGGAACACCAGUGGCGAAGGCGGUUCUCUGGGCCUUUCCUGACGCUGAGGAGCGAAAGCGUGGGGAGCGAACAGGCUUAGAUACCCUGGUAGUCCACGCUGUAAACGGUGGGUACUAGGUGUGGGGUCCAUUCCACGGGUUCCGUGCCGUAGCUAACGCUUUAAGUACCCCGCCUGGGGAGUACGGCCGCAAGGCUAAAACUCAAAGGAAUUGACGGGGCCCCGCACAAGCGGCGGAGCAUGCGGAUUAAUUCGAUGCAACGCGUAGAACCUUACCUGGGUUUGACAUGGAUCGGGAGUGCUCAGAGAUGGGUGUGCCUCUUUUGGGGUCGGUUCACAGGUGGUGCAUGGCUGUCGUCAGCUCGUGUCGUGAGAUGUUGGGUUAAGUCCCGCAACGAGCGCAACCCUUGUUCACUGUUGCCAGCACGUUAUGGUGGGGACUCAGUGGAGACCGCCGGGGUCAACUCGGAGGAAGGUGGGGAUGACGUCAAGUCAUCAUGCCCCUCAUGUCCAGGGCUUCACGCAUGCUACAAUGGCUGGUACAGAGAGUGGCGAGCCUGUGAGGGUGAGCGAAUCUCGGAAAGCCGGUCUCAGUUCGGAUUGGGGUCUGCAACUCGACCUCAUGAAGUCGGAGUCGCUAGUGAUCGCAGAUCAGCAACGCUGCGGUGAAUACGUUCCCGGG